AACAGAUUGCCCAAGAUCACAAACUUGUAAAACCAGAAAACAGGUUUUGGAACCUGGCUUAUUUAUUCCCCAAACCCGUGUCCUUUCCACUUGACUGUCUUGAAUUUCUGAGGCAAAUCAGAGAGUGGACACAGACAUUCAAGGGGAUGCAGGCUUCUGAUGACAGUCCUCAGCUCUUCUCUAAGGAACCGGAGGGGACUCACAAUCAGCGAGGUCAUUUCGGGAGUUCCGACCCCUGGAGUCUGACUCUCUUGGUGUCCCACACCAUUCCCGCCCCUGGAAGUCUGGUCGGGAUGAGCUGUUAGUCUUUGCUUCUCAUCUCCAGCAGGUUGGAGCUCUCUGCCUGUCUAACCGAGGCGCUGGGCCUGUUGUCCUUCUGUGACCUUCGUCUGUGUUCCGCAUCAGCAUCGCCUUUUCCAUGAUGAUUCGGGGAGGCAGGAGGGCACGAUGGUGCGGGUGCCAAACUUGAGAUGGAAUCCUCUUUGAUAGGUCCAUGGUUCCCAAACUGCGCACCGCAGCACCCAGGGACACCAUGACAGAUUCACGGGGACACCAUGGAAUGAUUGCAGUCUCUGAGAGAAACCCAGCGAUAUCCAACUUCUGUUGACCAGCACAGGAACCAUUAGCUCAAGGUAGCUCACAGUUUCAAAAUGAGACUACACUACAUUUCUUUUCAUGACAUCAUAUCUUUGCAAAGGUGGUGUUUUGGUGAUUGCUGUGAUAAAAAGUCGGCACCUCCGGAAAGGCAGAGUGGGACGGGAAAUAAGGGGGGUGGUAUCCCGUCUGAUUCUAAGGCUUCAGAAGCUGUGGAGGGCCCACCACCUACACACAUCCUAUUGGGUUCAGCUAGACUACUCCGGUGUCCCCCAGGGGCAGGCUCCUUGCCAUAAGACAGAGAGCAGACUAGGAUAUAUGUGCUUUGCAGAUAAGUUGGCUCAAAAAAAGGCAAGAGAAAAAGAGUCUGAAGUGGGGAAGCCCAGUUUCAUUCAGGAUAUUUCCUUUUCUGAACAAGAAACAAGGCCUCCUAAAAGCGUCAUAAAGCUGACCAUGAUUACAGAGUCAGUGAACGUCAUCAGCAUCGGCUGAGCCUCAUAUGUAGCCAGGCGCUUCAUGCUCCGAGGGGUUACAUCGCCUCUACUGCAUCAACAUGGCUAACAGACUUCAGAGCUGAGGUUCAAAACUGUGGUGGGUUUGCCUCCAUCAUAUGAAGGAGACAGAAGAGAAGAAGAGAUACGCUCCCCCCUACCCCGGAGAGCCAGGAAGUCUCCCGCGUCUCCUGCCUCUGUUCUUCCUGGGAGUCUUCAGCAGCUUGGAGGGCAGCUUCACAUCCUAUGCUUCUGAUCUGUGGGGCAGAAAGGUCGGGGCGUGGGGAAGGGAGGCUUGUUGGGAGAAAAUCCACUUUCUACGUGUGGCACGUGCUCUAACCCCAAGCGUUCACCAGCACAGACCUGAAGGAAGGACAUACACAUUUCUCUGGGUCUAUAAGGAACAGCAAACAGACCAGGCAUGGAUUAAAACUUGCUGCCUUCUUUUAGUAGAUGUCGCUCCUCUCAUUGCCCGUCAAUCAUUGUGUGACUUUGUCUCAACAUCAUCAUCAGUCAAUUGUUUACCUACCAAAUGCUCUUAUAGGCAGGCCUCACAUUUUUCAGUGUAAAUAAUAAUACCUGUGAAACUUACAUCAUCAAUUUUAUCUCAAAAUAAUUUAGUUAACGCUUGGUAAUUAUUUUAACUUAGAUGAAAGGGGCUAUACAUCUUUUAUUUUCCUCUUCUGAGAUAGACACAGAAAUGGAGAGAUGUAGAGUUGAAGGACGGAGAUCUUGCAAGAUGACUUUCCUUUACAACAUUGAACACAACUGCUAAACAUGAUGUGAGCAUCUUAAAAAGAGCCAAAGUAAUUGUUGUAGAGGUUCAAAAAUAUAUUGUUCAGUGAUGUGCCUUCAGUCUGCCUGUGACCUUUGUGCUGUGGCCUAAGGUCAGCAAGUAGAGAAGGGCUGAGAAAAAAGGUCUAAUGAAGCUCUCUUGUUGGAAGGAAGAGGAAGGGUUUAAAACAGAUUUAAAUAUCUUCAGAGGCAGGGCAGAGAAAG
ensembl:lncRNA